GCGGCAUGCUUAACACAUGCAAGUCGAACGAGAAAGCUUCUUCGGAAGUGAUUAAAGUGGCGCACGGGUGAGUAACGCGUAGACAAUCUGCCCUUCAGUCCGGGACAACUUUCCGAAAGGGGAGCUAAUACCGGAUAACAAUUUUUAACAUAAGUUAAAUAUUUGAAAGCUCCGGCGCUGAUGGAUGAGUCUGCGUCCCAUUAGCUUGUUGGUGCGGUAGUGGCGCACCAAGGCCGCGAUGGGUAGCGGGUUUGAGAGGACGAUCCGCCACACUGGAACUGAGACACGGUCCAGACUCCUACGGGAGGCAGCAGUGGGGAAUAUUGCACAAUGGAGGAAACUCUGAUGCAGCAAUGCCGCGUGAGUGAAGAAGGCCCUUGGGUCGUAAAGCUCUUUUAUGGGGGAAGAUAAUGACGGUACCCCAAGAAUAAGCACCGGCUAACUACGUGCCAGCAGCCGCGGUAAUACGUAGGGUGCGAGCGUUGUUCGGAAUUACUGGGCGUAAAGGGCGCGCAGGCGGAGAUGCAAGUCGGAGGUGAAAGCCCGGGGCUCAACCCCGGAGGGUCUUUCGAAACUGCAUUUCUAGAGAGGGUCAGGGGCCGGCAGAAUUCCUGGUGUAGAGGUGAAAUUCGUAGAUAUCAGGAGGAAUACCGGUGGCGAAAGCGGCCGGCUGGGGCCACUCUGACGCUGAGGCGCGAAAGCGUGGGGAGCAAACAGGAUUAGAUACCCUGGUAGUCCACGCCGUAAACGAUGAGCACUGGACGUUCGGAGGGUUCGACCCUUCUGGGUGUUUCAGCUAACGCAUUAAGUGCUCCGCCUGGGGAGUACG
rnacentral:rRNA from 1 species